GGUGAACGCUGGCGGCGUGCUUAAGACAUGCAAGUCGAACGCAGUCUUCGGACUGAGUGGCGCACGGGUGAGUAACACGUAACUGACCUACCCCCAAGUCGCGGAUAACUGGCCGAAAGGUCAGCUAAUACGUGAUGUGAUGUCCCCUUUCUGGGGGGCCAUUAAAGGUUUACUGCUUGGGGAUGGGGUUGCGUUCCAUCAGCUAGUUGGCGGGGUAAAGGCCCACCAAGGCAACGACGGAAAGCCGGCCUGAGAGGGUGGCCGGCCACAGGGGCACUGGGACACGGGUCCCACUCCUACGGGAGGCAGCAGGUAGGAAGCUACCGCGAUGGGCGAAAGCCUGAUGGAGCGACGCCGCGUGAGGGAUGAAGGUUCUCGGAUCGUAAACCUCUGAAUCAGGGACGAAAGACGCGUAAGCGGGAUGACGGUACCUGAGUAAUAGCACCGGCUAACUCCGUGCCAGCCGCCGCAGUAA
rnacentral:rRNA from 1 species